AGGUAUCAGGAGUUGAAAUGACAUAGAAAAUUCUUUAAAGUGCUGAUUGCAAAAUGAGCUCGUUCCAACUGAUGCUGAAAGGAGGCAAACUGAAACUCCAAGAAUGAUAAGCUUAUUGGCAAGUUACAGGAAAACCACAUACAAGGCAACUAAAUAAAGACUAUGCAAAAGAUGACAUCUAUAUUUUUGCUCAUUGGUCAUCUCAUUCUACUGACACCUCUGUUCAAUGCUGAAGAAUGCAUUAUUUGUGAUUACUUUGUGCUUGUUGGAGAGCCUAUAGCUGUUAGUUGUCCAAUAAUUACAUUGCCAGUGCUUCACUCUGGUUACAAUCUGACGUGGUAUAAAAACGGCAGUGCUACACCAGUAACCACAGAGAGAGAUGCCAGGAUCCAUCAACGAGAGGGCUUGCUUUGGUUUAUUCCUGCAACACUGGAAGAUGCUGGACUUUAUGAAUGUGAUGUAAGGAGCCUCAACCACUCUAACAAAAAAACUAUAAAUUUAACAGUUUUUAAAAAUGAUAAUGGUUUGUGUUUUAAUGGAAAAAUGAAGUUUGAACAAAAAGUGAUGAGCACAAAUACUGGAAAGAUUAUAUGCCCUGAUCUAGAACAUUUUAAAGAUGAAGACAAUAAUCAGCCUGAAGUACACUGGUAUAAGGAAUGUAAGCCUGGAUUUCUUGAAGACAAGCGACUUCUUUUGGCAGAGGGUGAAAAUGCUGUCUUGAUUCACAAUGUAACUCUACAAGACGGAGGAAACUACACCUGCCGUAUGGUAUACACAUAUAUGGGAAAACAAUAUAAUGUUUCACGAACCAUGAGUCUAGAGGUUAAAGAAGGACCACUGCAGAUGAGACCAGAGUUUAUUUAUCCGAAGAACAAUACAAUUGAAGUAGAACUUGGCUCUCAUGUAGUUAUGGAAUGUAAUAUAUCAAGUGGCAUAAAUGGCUUGAUUCCAUUUUGGCAAGUUAAUGAUGAGGAUGUCGAUAGCUUUGAUAGCACCUACAGGGAACAGUUUUAUGAAGAGGGGAUGCCUCAUGGACUUGCUGUAUCUGGAACAAAAUUUAACAUUUCAAAAGUGCAAGUGAAGGAUUAUGCUCAUAAAUUUUUCUGUCACUUCAUAUACGGUUCUCAACAAUUUACAGCCUACAUAAAAUUGGAACGUCCAGCUCGGAACAUUCAGGGUUACUUAAUUGGAGGAGGAGUUUCUUUGGUUUUUUUAGUAUUUUUCACUCUCUUUAUCUACAAGAUCUUCAAAAUUGAUAUUGUACUUUGGUAUCGGGACUCCUGCUAUCCUUUCCUGGGUAAAAAAGUUUCAGAUGGAAAGAUCUAUGAUGCUUACGUUCUGUAUCCAAAAAACAGAGAGAGCUGCUUGUAUUCAUCAGAUGUUUUUGCCCUGAAGAUACUGCCAGAGGUCUUAGAAGGACAGUGUGGAUAUAACCUUUUCAUAUUUGGGAGGGAUGAUUUACCAGGAGAAGCUGUGAUCAGCAUUGCUGAUGAAAAAAUCCGUCAAAGUAGAAGAGUGAUAAUUGUUUUGGUACCAGAACCUUCCUGUUACAGUAUUCUAGAAGACGUGUCUGAAAAGCAGCUAGCCUUGUAUAAUGCUCUUAUCCAAGAUGGCAUUAAAGUAAUUCUCAUUGAACUUGAAAAAAUACAAGAUUAUGCUGCCAUGCCAGAAUCCAUCAAAUAUGUUAAGCAAAAGCAUGGGGUUAUCCGAUGGAAAGGGGACUUCUCAGAAAGGUCUCACUCAGCAAGUACCAGAUUCUGGAAGAAAGUGCGCUACCACAUGCCAUCCAGAAAAAAUGGAUCUUCAUCAGCAUUGCAUUUGUUACCAAAAAACCUUAAUUCUCCCUAAAUAACCAAAGAAAAAUGACACUCAAUGGCUAAUUCAGUUCACAUAGUUGGUGAUGGCUUGAUUGAAGGUUACAUGUAUCUGUUUUGUGCAGACAAUCUUGUCCAAAUUUUCUGGAUUGAAGGUACUACAACUUCAUCUACAGAUAUGAAUAAUUUUUUCUUCAAGCCAGUUCGACAGAACAUCAUGAAAUGCUGUCAGCAGCACAUUGAUGACAUGGAAACCACAUAGGAAGUACAUGAGGCCUUUUCCAGGAAUUGCACUGUGAUUUGAUGGAAUUCUUUUGGUAUUAAAAAUGGAAGGGGAAAACUGUCAAAACCCCCCGAAAACUAAUUUCUUGCAAUUAAAGGUUGAAUAUGAAGGGAACUAUAUGAAUUAUAAUUGUGAUACUAUGUCAUGGGCAUGGUUGAUGCCAGUAAAUGUUUUUGUUUCAUUUUUUUAAUGAAAUGACACAAAACUUUUCUUUUGUUACAAGUUUGUUAUUUGCCUUGUCCAGUUUGCUGAAAGAUAAAUCCCCUGUGUUAACUGCAUCAGUGUGUUAUCAUCCAAGAGGAAAGCUUGCAGUAUGCAGGCCAGCCAACAGAGUUCCAGCAACCUUGGGCCUCCUGAGUUAUUUUUGCCGAUUGGAAUAGAUUGAAUGAAAAACUGCUACUUGUGAUCCCUACAUUUAGGGAUAGGAAAGUUACUUUACUGAGCCAAAAUACGUUUUUUUUUAAAAAAAACCCUAAUUGUUACUUUUGAUAUAUUUAUACAAAUGAUGCUAAAGUUUUCAUGUGUGUUAUGUAAAGGCACUUUGAAAAAAGAUCCAUUUUUUUAUUCAAUAAAGGCACUACAUAUUUUUUCUUAUAGCACUGCUGGUUUUCUUCCUUAUUCUUCCACUAAAGCAUGCUGAGAAUGAGCAGUGGCAAGCAGCAGUCUAGACUUGAAGUGUCUUAAGCAAGACUGCUCUAUUAGA